rnacentral:lncRNA from 1 species
CUCUGCAUAGCCCGGAGUAGACGCUCUGCAUAGCCCGGAGUAGACGCUCUGAUGUGAUAGAGGAGAGGGAGGUGUCGUUGAAGGUGAAAACCAUAUAGAAAUAAGAUGAAAGUCAAAGGGAAAUAUGAAAAAUAUGGAAGUCCCUAAAAUACCCCUUCUGGGUUCCUAGAUCUGGAAGCCGAUGGAAAUUAUGAGGUGGCGCCGCCGCUAAGUUCCUUGAUUGGAAUCGAAAUAUAAGUUUAGGGAUUAAAUUGGCUAUAAAUAAUGUAUAGGGACUAAAUUGACGGAAAAAAAAAGUUUAGGGACUAAAUUGGCGAUUUUCCCAAAAGAAAACUCAUGCAAAUCAGAAUCGAAGCGUUCUUCUUCUUUUUUUUCUGCAAUUUCAGAAACUUCAUCAGCUGACAGCCAUAGUUGCCAGCGGUGACAGAUGACCACCAGUCGCCGAUCACCGGCGAAUUUUCGAUCACCAAAAAUUAUCAAAAUACACAUCUCCACUCGAUUUUUUGUAUACAUUCCAUUUUCGAAGUUAUUUUUUACAAAAAAAGACCCGAAGGUGGCCAAAAAGCAAAAGACAGAUCAGUUUUUAUUUUUUCAAAACACCAUAUCUUUCACUAAAAAUUAUGAAAAUUAUACCAUAACACUCCUUACAACUUCUACAAUACAACUAUGCUUUUAAUUUGACAAGAAAACAGCAUAAGAGGGCUAAAAUAAAGCAAAACAGUCCCCUAAAAUUUGUUUUUUCUAUUUUGACAUUUUUUCAAACAUUUAGCAUGCUUAUACAAAUUUUAUUUCUUUUCCCCUUAAUCUGGUUCAUAACUUGUCUAACAACACAAUAAUAAUAAGAUCAGCAAGAGAAAAAAAACACAAGCAGCCAAACAUACAUUUAAUCUAAUUAAUUAAGAAAAAAGAAAAAACUGGAAAAAUAAAAGAAAGAAAUACCUCAACAAAAUUUGUAUUCUCUAGCUGAAGUUUUGAUGCAAUUUCUAGUUCCAAUUGUGCAGUUGCCGCCUCCCUUUUUGUUGUGCAAGCGUGUUGAAUUUUUUUGGGAAGAGAGGAGGGAGCUUUUUUUUUUCUUCUUCUCCUACAUUUUCUUCUGUCGUCUGGAAGUCGAGAGAGUUGAGAGAGUGAGGGUCUCUCUGCAAAAUUUUCUCAUUCUUCUGUCCGUUGAGCCAGCCGAGAGAGGGAGAGAGAGUUUUUCUCUUGCUGUCUUCUCUGUUUCUUUUGCUCUCUGGAAGUCGAGAGAGGGAGAGAAGGUGCCGAGAGGGAGAAGGAAUUUUUUUCUUUUUGCUCUG